UUACACUGUGCCGUUUCAUUAGCAGGUCAUUUAAAACAUUCCUUUUCCUAAAUCUACUUUCUAAACGCAGCCCCCACUUCACCAAAAUUCACAGCCCUAAAAAUCAAUUUGUUUGGGCAUAUUCCAGCAGCCACCGAGUUCACCACUUCAUCAGGUGUUCGAUGGCACUCCAGCGAUGAUUGAUGAUGUCUUUGGACCCUUUCAACUUCGAUUUUCAGCGAAGAGGGCAGAGAUUGACUGAUUUGCAAGGUUCCAUUGUGGCGAUGCUCGUACGGAAGGAGGGGCCGUUCGUGGGUGUGCAGCGAAGUGUUCCAGAAGCUUCACUGUUUGCGGUGCAUGGGAACGACGGCUUAGUGGUCUAGGGUUUCCACUUUCUGAAAAGAGUCAAUGGACUAAGUUUUGGGUUAGGUUUAAUUUAGGUUUGGGCUUUAUUUUAAAAUGAGUUUUUAAAAUUUGGGCUUCAAUUGUAUGUGGGUUUAAUAUAAAUUUGGACUAUGGACAUUUAUUGGAUUUUUAUUUUUAA